rnacentral:rRNA from 1 species
AGUGAACGCUGGCGGUAGGCCUAACACAUGCAAGUCGAACGGCAGCACAGGAGAGCUUGCUCUCUAGGUGGCGAGUGGCGGACGGGUGAGGAAUACAUCGGAAUCUGCCCAGUCGUGGGGGAUAACGUAGGGAAACUUACGCUAAUACCGCAUACGACCUUCGGGUGAAAGAGGGGGAUCGCAAGACCUCUCGCGAUUGGAUGAGCCGAUGUCGGAUUAGCUAGUUAGCGGGGUAAUGGCCCACCAAGGCGACGAUCCGUAGCUGGUCUGAGAGGAUGAUCAGCCACACUGGAACUGAGACACGGUCCAGACUCCUACGGGAGGCAGCAGUGGGGAAUAUUGGACAAUGGGCGCAAGCCUGAUCCAGCCAUACCGCGUGGGUGAAGAAGGCCUUCGGGUUGUAAAGCCCUUUUUUUGGGAAAGAAAUCUUUCAGGCUAAUACCCUGGGAGGAUGACGGUACCCAAAGAAUAAGCACCGGCUAACUUCGUG